rnacentral:rRNA from 1 species
UACGUAGGGGGGCAAGCGUUGUCCGGAAUUAUUGGGCGUAAAGAGCGUGUAGGCGGUCCGGUAAGUCAGCUGUGAAAGUCAAGGGCUCAACCCUUGAAAGCCGGUUGAUACUGUCGGGCUAGAGUCCGGAAGAGGCGAGUGGAAUUCCCGGUGUAGCGGUGAAAUGCGCAGAUAUCAGGAAGAACACCCGUGGCGAAGGCGGCUCUCUGGAACGCAACUGACGCUGAGACGCGAAAGCGUGGGGAGCAAACAGG